AGAAAAUGACUGAGCGGCGAACGGGUGAGUAACGCGUGAGCAAUCUACCUUAGUUACAGGGAUAGCCCGAGGAAACUCGGAUUAAUACCUGAUAUUCUUUAUAUUUCGCAUGAAAUUAAAAGGAAAGGUCAGCCGAACUAAGAUGAGCUCGCGUUCUAUCAGCUAGUUGGUGAGGUAAAAGCUCACCAAGGCUACGACGGAUAGCUGGUCUGAGAGGACGAUCAGCCACACUGGGACUGAGACACGGCCCAGACUCCUACGGGAGGCUGCAGCAGGGAAUAUUGCGCAAUGAGCGAAAGCUUGACGCAGCGACACCGCGUGUGGGAUGACGGAUCUAGGUUUGUAAACCACUUUCAGGAGGGAAGAAAAUGACGGUACCUCCACAAGAAGCCCCGGCCAACUACGUGCCAGCAGCCGCGGUAAUACGUAGGGGGCGAGCGUUGUCCGGAUUUAUUGGGCGUAAAGAGCUCGUAGGCGGUUCAACAAGUCGGUCGUGAAAGUUCAGGGCUCAACCCUGAAAUGUCGAUCGAUACUGUUGUGACUAGGAUACGGUAGAGGUGAGUGGAAUUCCGAGUGUAGCGGUGAAAUGCGUAGAUAUUCGGAGGAACACCAAUUGCGAAGGCAGCUCACUGGGCCGCUAUCGACGCUGAGGAGCGAAAGCUAGGGGAGCAAACAGGAUUAGAUACCCUGGUAGUCCUAGCUGUAAACGAUGGAUACUAGACGUAGGAACUGGAUUGACGGUUUCUGUGUCGCAGCUAACGCGUUAAGUAUCCCGCCUGGGGAGUACGGUCGCAAGACUAAAACUCAAAGGAAUUGACGGGACCCCGCACAAGCGGCGGAGCAUGCGGCUUAAUUCGAUGAUACCCGUAGAACCUUACCUGGACUUGACAUAUAGGGUCUAGCUAUAGAGAUAUAGUGUGCAUUAGCGCCCUAUACAGGUGGUGCAUGGCUGUCGUCAGCUCGUGUCGUGAGAUGUUGGGU
rnacentral:rRNA from 1 species